ACUCAAAUGAAUUGACGGGGAGGCACACAACCAGUGGAACAUGUGGUUCAAUUCGAAACAAACCGAAGAACCUCACCAAGAUUUGACAUCCUAGGGACAGCCCGAUGAAAGUUGGGCCUUUCGCAAGAACCGUAGGACAGGUGCUGCAUGGCUGUCGUCAGCUCGUUCCGUGAGGAGUACCCUUAAGUGGGACAACGAGCGCAACCCCCGUCUUGUGUUACAUUUGUCACAAGAGACUGCCCGACCUUUGGUCGGGAGGAAGGAGGGGCAGACGUCAAGUCAGCAUGGCCCUUAUAUCUUGGGCUACACACAUGUUACAAUGGACCAUAACAAUGAGCAUGCCACUUAGCAAUAAGGCGCUAAUCUCACAAAUUGGUCCUCAGUGGGGAUUGCGGUCUGCAACUCGACCGCAUGAACGUGGAAUUGGUAGUAAUCGCGGAUCAGUCAAGCCGCGGUGAAUACGUUCUUGCCUCUUGCACACACCGCCCGU
rnacentral:rRNA from 1 species